rnacentral:rRNA from 1 species
AUUGAACGCUGGCGGCAGGCUUAACACAUGCAAGUCGAGCGGGGUGAUGGUGCUUGCACUAUCACUUAGCGGCGGACGGGUGAGUAAUGCUUAGGAAUCUGCCUAUUAGUGGGGGACAACAUCUCGAAAGGGAUGCUAAUACCGCAUACGUCCUACGGGAGAAAGCAGGGGAUCACUUGUGACCUUGCGCUAAUAGAUGAGCCUAAGUCGGAUUAGCUAGUUGGUGGGGUAAAGGCCUACCAGGGCGACGAUCUGUAGCGGGUCAGAGAGGAUGAUCCGCCACACUGGGACUGAGACACGGCCCAGACUCCUACGGGAGGCAGCAGUGGGGAAUAUCGGGCAAUGGGGGGAACCCUGAUCCAGCCAUGCCGCGUGUGUGAAGAAGGCCUUAUGGUUGUAAAGCACUUUAAGCGAGGAGGAGGCUCUUUUGGUUAAUACCCAAGAUGAGUGGACGUUACUCGCAGAAUAAGCACCGGCUAACUCUGUGCCAGCCGCCGCGGUAA